CAGUGAGGAAUAUUGGGCAAUGCCCGAAAGGGUGACCCAGCAACGCCGCGUGGAGGAUGAAGGUCGUAAGAUUGUAAACUCCUGUUAGAGGGGAAGAAUAACUAAGUUUGGAGCUUAGUAUGACUGUACCCUCAGAGAAAGCCCCGGCUAACUACGUGCCAGCAGCCGCGGUAAUACGUAGGGGGCAAGCGUUGUCCGGAUUUACUGGGUGUAAAGGGCGCGCAGGCGGAAUGGAAAGUCAGUGGUGAAAUCCUACAGCUUAACUGUAGAACUGCCUUUGAUACUUUUAUUCUUGAGUUCGGGAGAGAGAGACGGAAUUCCAGGUGUAGUGGUGAAAUACGUAGAUAUCUGGAAGAACACCAGUUGCGAAGGCGGUCUCUUGGUCCGACACUGACGCUGAGGCGCGAAAGCGUGGGGAGCAAACA
rnacentral:rRNA from 1 species